GGAGGGCAAAGUCUGGUGCCAGCAGCCGCGGUAAUUCCAGCUCCAAUAGCGUAUAUUAAAGUUGUUGCAGUUAAAAAGCUCGUAGUUGAAUUUCGGGAUCAUCAGGUUGGUCGUGCCUCUGGUAUGUACUGAUUUCGAUGGUUCCUCCUUCUUGUAGAACCGUAAUGCCAUUAAUUUGGUGUUGCGGGAAAACAGGACUGUUACUUUGAAAAAAUUAGAGUGUUUAAAGCAGGCAAUCGCUUGAAUACAUUAGCAUGGAAUAAUGAAAUAGGAUGUUUGAUCCUAUUUUGUUGGUUUCUAGGAUUGACGUAAUGAUUAAUAGGGAUAGUUGGGGGCAUUAGUAUUCAAUUGUCAGAGGUGAAAUUCUUGGAUUUAUUGAAGACUAACUACUGCGAAAGCAUUUGCCAAGGAUGUUUUCAUUAAUCAAGAACGAAAGUUAGGGGAUCGAAGACGAUCAGAUACCGUCGUAGUCUUAACCAUAAACUAUGCCGACUAGGGAUCGGAUGAUGUUAAUUUUUUAAUGACUCAUUCGGCG
rnacentral:rRNA from 1 species